rnacentral:rRNA from 1 species
UACGAAGGGGGCUAGCGUUGCUCGGAAUCACUGGGCGUAAAGGUGCGUAGGCGGGUCUUUAAGUCAGGGGUGAAAUCCUGGAGCGCAACUCCAGAACUGCCUUUGAUACUGGCGAUCUUGAGUCCGGGAGAGGUGAGUGGAACUGCGAGUGUAGAGGUGAAAUUCGUAGAUAUUCGCAAGAACACCAGUGGCGAAGGCGGCUCACUGGCCCGGUACUGACGCUGAGGUGCGAAAGCGUGGGGAGCAAACAGG